UACGGAGGGUGCGAGCGUUGUCCGGAAUCACUGGGCGUAAAGGGCGCGUAGGCGGUGGGAUAAGCGCAUGGUGAAAGCCCGGGGCUCAACCCCGGGUCGGCCGUGCGAACUGUCCGACUCGAGCACUGUAGAGGCAGGUGGAAUUCCGGGUGUAGCGGUGGAAUGCGUAGAGAUCAGGAGGAACACCGGUGGUGUAGACGGCUCACUGGACCAUAACUGACGCUGAGACACGAAAGCGUGGGUAGCAAACAGG
rnacentral:rRNA from 1 species